GUCUAUGGCCAUGCCACCCUGAACAAGCCCAAUGGCUGAUCUCAGAAGCUAAGCAGGGUUGGGCCUAGUUAGUAUUUGGAUGGGAGACCACCUAGGAAGACCAGAUGCUAUAGGCA
rfam:Pteropus alecto contig49255, whole genome shotgun sequence.